UACGUAGGGUGCGAGCGUUGCCCGGAUUUAUUGGGCGUAAAGGGCGCGUAGGCGGCUCUGCACGUCCGUUGUGAAAUCGCCCGGCUCAACUGGGCGGGGUCAGCGGAUACGGCGGAGCUUGAGCAAGCUAGGGGGCAAUGGAAUUCCCGGUGUAGCGGUGGAAUGCGUAGAGAUCCGGAAGAACACCAGUGGCGAAGGCGGCCCGCUGGGCAGUGGCUGACGCUGAGGCGCGACAGCGUGGGGAGCAAACAGG
rnacentral:rRNA from 1 species